rnacentral:rRNA from 1 species
GUGAGCCAGUACAGGAUGGACCCGCGUCUGAUUAGCUAGUUGGUAAGGUAACGGCUUACCAAGGCGACGAUCAGUAGCCGACCUGAGAGGGUGAUCGGCCACAUUGGAACUGAGACACGGUCCAAACUCCUACGGGAGGCAGCAGUGGGGAAUAUUGCACAAUGGGCGAAAGCCUGAUGCAGCAACGCCGCGGGAGUGAUGAAGGCCUUCGGGUCG